GAUGAACGCUGGCGGCGUGCCUAAUACAUGCAAGUCGAGCGAACGGACGAGAAGCUUGCUUCUCUGAUGUUAGCGGCGGACGGGUGAGUAACACGUGGAUAACCUACCUAUAAGACUGGGAUAACUUCGGGAAACCGGAGCUAAUACCGGAUAAUAUUUUGAACCGCAUGGUUCAAAAGUGAAAGACGGUCUUGCUGUCACUUAUAGAUGGAUCCUCGCUGCAUUAGCUAGUUGGUAAGGUAACGGCUUACCAAGGCAACGAUGCAUAGCCGACCUGAGAGGGUGAUCGGCCACACUGGAACUGAGACACGGUCCAGACUCCUACGGGAGGCAGCAGUAGGGAAUCUUCCGCAAUGGGCGAAAGCCUGACGGAGCCACGCCGCGUGAGUGAUGAAGGUCUUCGGAUCGUAAAACUCUGUUAUUAGGGAAGAACAUAUGUGUAAGUAACUGUGCACAUCUUGACGGUACCUAAUCAGAAAGCCACGGCUAACUACGUG
rnacentral:rRNA from 1 species